rnacentral:rRNA from 1 species
UACGUAGGGGGCAAGCGUUGUCCGGAAUCACUGGGCGUAAAGCGCGCGCAGGCGGCUGUCUGCGUCCGGGGUGAAAGCCCAGAGCUCAACUCUGGGACUGCCUUGGAUACUGGAUGGCUUGAGAUUGGGAGAGGGAUGCGGAAUUCCAGGUGUAGCGGUGAAAUGCGUAGAGAUGUGGAGGAACACCGAUGGCGAAGGCAGCCCCCUGGGCCAACACUGACGCUCAGGCACGAAAGCGUGGGGAGCAAACAGG